rnacentral:rRNA from 1 species
ACGGGAGGCAGCAGUGGGGAAUAUUGCACAAUGGGGGAAACCCUGAUGCAGCGACGCCGCGUGAGCGAAGAAGUAUUUCGGUAUGUAAAGCUCUAUCAGCAGGGAAGAAAAUGACGGUACCUGACUAAGAAGCCCCGGCUAACUACGUGCCAGCAGCCGCGGUAAUACGUAGGGGGCAAGCGUUAUCCGGAUUUACUGGGUGUAAAGGGUGCGUAGGCGGCAUGGCAAGUCAGAUGUGAAAGACCGGGGCUCAACUCCGGGGCUGCAUUUGAAACUGCCAGGCUGGAGUACAGGAGAGGCAGGCGGAAUUCCUAGUGUAGCGGUGAAAUGCGUAGAUAUUAGGAGGAACACCAGUGGCGAAGGCGGCCUGCUGGACUGUUACUGACGCUGAGGCACGAAAGCGUGGGGAGCAAACAGGAUUAGAUACCCUGGUA